GUUGCCAGAGAAAUGCAUAUUAGUUUGAGAAUACACUUUACAACUUCGAUGUGGAUAAUUUCAUAUUUAAGGUCACAAUGAGUGGACGGCAAACUUGAAACUUAAAAUUGUCAUAACAAAAAUGAAUUUAUAGCCCAUAUAAAAUACGCGUGGGGCAGUGUCAGAAUGAUUUGUCAACGGAAGGCGCAUGUCAUUGGAGGAUGAUCACUAAAUUAGACCAGAAUACAUGACAGAAGGAAGUUGUGGAUGUGUUCAACGGGUCGAGACAUAAUACUCCCUUGAUCACAUACACUUUCUAUCCCUCUUCAAAUGAAAUAGCCUACAAUCUCAGUUCAUCAUGCAUAGAAGGAGGAUGCUUCGGGCACUCCCUGUUUUUAUAUUAAUGUUCUUCGUCGUUUUAAUAGUGGACUUUCAACUAAGGACGCGGAAUCUCCACAAACUCAAUUCUAUUCACAAUCCGUUCGGGGGAGACUUACUGCGCUCGAUUCAAGAGACGCCUCUCUCCGCGGCAAAGGAGCCACCAAAGCCGGCCAAGUUUCCUCGACAACCCGCCGCUGUCUCUACUAUGAACCAGACUGUUGGUGGCUUACAAGCGGAGAUACAGAGAAGGAGAGACAAGUUGAGGGCUUUGGAACAGAGAAGGGUUGUCAUCACUCCAUCCCUGUUGAGGUUAACGGACAUCUUCCUCGCGGUGAAGAGCACCGGGAGGUUCCAUGGCACGCGCCUCUCUCUCCUCCUCGAGACGUGGAUCUCCAAGACCAAGGAGCAUACGUUCAUCUUUACAGACACGGAGGAUGAAGAUAUCAACUCCAGAGGUUACAAUGUGAUUGUGACAGAUUGUCCGUCGGACCACAGUCACCAGGCUCUGUCCUGUAAGAUGUCUGCUGAAUAUGACCACUUCAUGGCCUCCGAUAAGAAGUGGCUGUGUCAUGUUGACGAUGAUAACUACGUGAAUCCUGGAGCUCUUCUCUCCCUGCUCUCAGCCUUCCCCCAAGACAGUGAUGUCUACGUGGGCAAGCCCAGCCUCGACCACCCCAUCAAGGCCCAUGAACUACUGGAGGGCAACAAGACGAAAGAAGUGCAGUUCUGGUUUGCCACGGGAGGAGCAGGCUUCUGUCUGAGUCGCAGACUAGCUGAGAAGAUGGCUCCAUGGGCUAGUGGUCCCAGGUUUGAGCAGACGUCAGCAGUGAUCCGUCUGCCAGAUGACUGUACAGUAGGCUUCAUCGUAGAGAGAAGACUGGGGAUAUCCAUGGUCCACAGUUCAAUGUUCCACUCUCACCUGGAGAACCUGCUACUGCUGACGCCCAGCAAUAUACCUCUACAGGUGACUCUUAGUUAUGGGCUGUUUGAAAACAAGAUGAACAGUGUGGAGCUGAAUAGACUCUUCUCCAAGGAGGAUGAUCCCUCCAGGUCAGUACCACUCUGUCCCCAGGAUAAGAAACCUUCUCCAAGGAGGAUGAUCCCUCCAGGUCAGUACCACUCUGUCCCCAGGAUAAGAAACCUUCUCCAAGGAGGAUGAUCCCUCCAGGUCAGUACCACUCUGUCCCCAGGAUAAGAAACCUUCUCCAAGGAGGAUGAUCCCUCCAGGUUUAAGACGGUCCACUGUCUACUCUAUCCACUGACCAGCUGGUGCCCUUGAAGAGUCCAACUCCCAGCAGCACCUGUGCCUCCUGAGACUUUCCCAAAUGGUGUCAGCACUUCCUGGAUUCUCUGGGUGUGUCUCAAUAAUCUCUCUUUUCUCCUGAAGUGUCGUUUACUACUUCCAACAAAUCUAAAAGUGAUGGCUUGGUCGAGGUGUGGGCUAGUGGGAGUUUCACCCUUGCGUCUUACCCCGGUCAUUAACUUUGAAAUCUGUGUACAAACUUUGGGAGCAAGGAGAGAUAAUUGGGACACAGCCCUGGUUUUACAUGGAAAUAACAGGGACGACAAGCACUAGUCUGGUGCAGAAUGCAGCUUGCACUUCCUGUAGCCUAUCGACUUAUUCUAGGAGUUCUAGGAGCCCUCCAGAUCCCUUACCAAGACUAGGAGCCCUCCAGAUCCCUUACCAAGACUAGGAGCCCUCCAGAUCCCUUACCAAGACUAGGAGCCCUCCAGAGCCCUUACCAAGACUAGGAGCCCUCCAGAGCCCUUACCAAGACUAGGAGCCCUCCAGAGCCCUUACCAAGACUAGGAGCCCUCCAGAGCCCUUACCAAGACUAGGAGCCCUCCAGAGCCCUUACCAAGACUAGGAGCCCUCCAGAGCCCUUACCAAGACUAGGAGCCCUCCAGAGCCCUUACCAAGACUAGGAGCCCUCCAGAGCCCUUAACAAGACUAGGAGCCCUCCAGAUCCCUUACCAAGACUAGGAGCCCUCCAGAGCCCUUAACAAGACUAGGAGCCCUCCAGAGCCCUUACCAAGACUAGGAGCCCUCCAGAGCCCUUAACAAGACUAGGAGCCCUCCAGAGCCCUUACCAAGACUAGGAGCCCUCCAGAGCCCUUAACAAGACUAGGAGCCCUCCAGAGCCCUUAACAAGACUAGGAGCCCUCCAGAGCCCUUACCAAGACUAGGAGCCCUCCAGAGCCCUUAACAAGACUAGGAGCCCUCCAGAGCCCUUAACAAGACUAGGAGCCCUCCAGAGUCCUUACCAAGACUGCACUUGCAUCAUUUAUUUGCAGGUGUGUAUAUUUGUUGAACAGAGACCAAAAUCAUUUUGAAUAUAGUUUUUUUAAUAGAUUUGUAAAACUUCCUAUGAUGGAUGACCUCUGGUGAGACUCACUGCUGUAAAAUAUCUGCCGUUUUUGAAUCUGUUCUGUUAUGAAAACUGUUUUGAAAUUG